rfam:Takifugu rubripes WGS project CAAB00000000 data, contig_844
UCACAAAGCAUUGCACCCAGAAUCUGGUUUGCCAGACAUUGUACCUGGAGCUUUUUCUCUUUAUAUUAAAACGUUA